rnacentral:rRNA from 1 species
CCUGGCCUUGACAUACUAAGAACUUUCCAGAGAUUGGAUUGGUGCCUUCGGGAACUUAGAUACAGGUGCUGCAUGGCUGUCGUCAGCUCGUGUCGUGAGAUGUUGGGUUAAGUCCCGCAACGAGCGCAACCCUUUUCCUUAUUUGCCAGCGGGUUAAGCCGGGAACUUUAAGGAUACUGCCAGUGACAAACUGGAGGAAGGCGGGGACGACGUCAAGUCAUCAUGGCCCUUACGGCCAGGGCUACACACGUGCUACAAUGGUCGGUACAAAGGGUUGCUACCUCGCGAGAGGAUGCUAAUCUCAAAAAGCCGAUCGUAGUCCGGAUCGCAGUCUGCAACUCGACUGCGUGAAGUCGGAAUCGCUAGUAAUCGCGGAUCAGAAUGCCGCGGUGAAUACGUUCCCGGGCCUUGUACACACCGCCCGUCACACCAUGGGAGUUUGUUGCACCAGAAGUAGGUAGUCUAACCGCAAGGAGGACGCUUACCACGGUGUGGCCGAUGACUGGGGUGAAGUCGUAACAAGGUAGGCGUAGAUGA